GGUGAGAUGGCCGAGCGGUCUAAGGCGCCACGUUAAGGUCUCAUAACCCUUAAAACAACACAUGUUAUCCGUGGUCCGAAAGGGCGUGGGUUCGAAUCCCACUCUCAUCA
rnacentral:tRNA from 1 species